CCUACGGGUGGCAGCAGUGAGGAAUAUUGGUCAAUGGCCGAGAGGCUGAACCAGCCAAGUCGCGUGAGGGAAGACGGCCCUACGGGUUGUAAACCUCUUUUGUCGGGGAGCAAAGCGAACCACGUGUGUGUCCUUGAGAGUACCCUACGAAAAAGCAUCGGCUAACUCCGUGCCAGCCGCCGUGGUAAUACGGAGGAUGCGAGCGGUAUCGGGAUUUAUUGGGUUUAAUGGGUGCGCAGGAGGGGGUUCAUGUCAGCGGUCAAAUUGCGGGGCUCAACCCCGGCCUGCCGUUGAAACUGGAGGGCUGGAGUGCGCGAGAGGUAUGCGGAAUGCGGGGUGUAGCGGUGAAAUGCGGAGAUAUCACGAAGAACUCCGAUGGCGAAGGCAGCGAACCGGGGCGAAACUGACGCUCAUGCACGAAAGCGUGGGUAUCGAACAGGAUUAGAUACCCCUGUAGUC
rnacentral:rRNA from 1 species